rnacentral:misc_RNA from 1 species
AAGUCGUAACAAGGUUUCCGUAGGUGAACCUGCGGAAGGAUCAUUACAUUAAAUUGUUUUUUUAUAUACUUUAAAACGUAUAUAAUAUAAACUCUUUUACACAACAAAACUGUGCUCUUUUUUUUUUCCCAUCCCACUCACAAAAAACCUGAGCCUUCUGGUUCUGCGUUUUUUCAAUUUUUUUUUUAUAUUUGGACUGAACUUAAGUGUUUCCCAUUUGUCUUUCCUUUUUGGGGAAGUCUUGUGUGGAAAUCCUGCGGGGAUAUACAUAUUAUUGUGUUUUAUCCCUCAUAAGAAACCUAAACUAGAUACAACUCCUACCAAUGGAUAUCUAGGCUCUC